GAUGAACGCUGGCGGCGUGCCUAAUACAUGCAAGUCGAGCGAACGGACGAGAAGCUUGCUUCUCUGAUGUUAGCGGCGGACGGGUGAGUAACACGUGGAUAACCUACCUAUAAGACUGGGAUAACUUCGGGAAACCGGAGCUAAUACCGGAUAAUAUUUUGAACCGCAUGGUUCAAAAGUGAAAGACGGUCUUGCUGUCACUUAUAGAUGGAUCCGCGCUGCAUUAGCUAGUUGGUAAGGUAACGGCUUACCAAGGCAACGAUGCAUAGCCGACCUGAGAGGGUGAUCGGCCACACUGGAACUGAGACACGGUCCAGACUCCUACGGGAGGCAGCAGUAGGGAAUCUUCCGCAAUGGGCGAAAGCCUGACGGAGCAACGCCGCGUGAGUGAUGAAGGUCUUCGGAUCGUAAAACUCUGUUAUUAGGGAAGAACAUAUGUGUAAGUAACUGUGCACAUCUUGACGGUACCUAAUCAGAAAGCCACGGCUAACUACGUGCCAGCAGCCGCGGUAAUACGUAGGUGGCAAGCGUUAUCCGGAAUAUUGGGCGUAAAGCGCGCGUAGGCGGUUUUUUAGUCUGAUGUGAAAGCCCACGGCUCAACCGUGGAGGGUCAUUGGAAACUGGAAAACUUGAGUGCAGAAGAGGAAAGUGGAAUUCCAUGUGUAGCGGUGAAAUGCGCAGAGAUAUGGAGGAACACCAGUGGCGAAGGCGACUUUCUGGUCUGUAACUGACGCUGAUGUGCGAAAGCGUGGGGAUCAAACAGGAUUAGAUACCCUGGUAGUCCACGCCGUAAACGAUGAGUGCUAAGUGUUAGGGGGUUUCCGCCCCUUAGUGCUGCAGCUAACGCAUUAAGCACUCCGCCUGGGGAGUACGACCGCAAGGUUGAAACUCAAAGGAAUUGACGGGGACCCGCACAAGCGGUGGAGCAUGUGGUUUAAUUCGAAGCAACGCGAAGAACCUUACCAAAUCUUGACAUCCUUUGACAACUCUAGAGAUAGAGCCUUCCCCUUCGGGGGACAAAGUGACAGGUGGUGCAUGGUUGUCGUCAGCUCGUGUCGUGAGAUGUUGGGUUAAGUCCCGCAACGAGCGCAACCCUUAAGCUUAGUUGCCAUCAUUAAGUUGGGCACUCUAAGUUGACUGCCGGUGACAAACCGGAGGAAGGUGGGGAUGACGUCAAAUCAUCAUGCCCCUUAUGAUUUGGGCUACACACGUGCUACAAUGGACAAUACAAAGGGCAGCGAAACCGCGAGGUCAAGCAAAUCCCAUAAAGUUGUUCUCAGUUCGGAUUGUAGUCUGCAACUCGACUACAUGAAGCUGGAAUCGCUAGUAAUCGUAGAUCAGCAUGCUACGGUGAAUACGUUCCCGGGUCU
rnacentral:rRNA from 1 species